rnacentral:rRNA from 1 species
GUGAGGAAUAUUGCGCAAUGGAGGCAACUCUGACGCAGCCAUGCCGCGUGCAGGAAGAAGGCGCUACGCGUUGUAAACUGCUUUUAACCGGGAAGAAACCCCAGGACGUGUACUGGAUUGACGGUACCGGAGGAAUAAGAACCGGCUAACUUCGUGCCAGCAGCCGCGGUAAUACGAAGGGUGCAAGCGUUAUCCGGAUUCAUUGGGUUUAAAGGGUGCGUAGGCGGAGCGUUAAGUCAGUGGUGAAAUCCUGCAGCUUAACUGUAGACUGGCCAUUGAUACUGGCGCUCUUGAGUGCGCUUGAAGUGGGCGGAAUGUGCCGUGUAGCGGUAAAAUGCUUAGUUAUGGCACAGAACACCAAGUGCGAAGGCAGCUCACUAAGGCGAUACUGACGCUGAGGCACGAAAGCGUGGGGAUCGAACAGGAUUAGAUACCCGUGUAGUCC